GCUUUAAAGAAAGAAAAGGGGACAGGGUCUCUCAAUGACCUGGAACUCACUGAAUAGGCUAGGUUGCUGGCCAGCAAGCCCAAUCUGCCUCCUCCUCUAAAGAAAAGCAUCAUGCGUUGUUUUUGCUUUGUUUUGACUCUGUCUUUAACGUGAGUCUGGGGCCUAACCACAGGUCCUCAAGCUUGUGUAGCAAGUACUCCAACAACUGAACGCUCUCUUCAGCCCCCUUCUUAAAAUCAAAAAGAAAAAAGAGAGAAAUUACUAAAUAUCUUUUAUAAUGUAAAGAAAAAUUAAAGGUAGGAUAGUUAAAGAAAAAAAUUUAGGGGGGACAGAUUUCCUUCAGAAAGCUAAUCAUGAACAGGGAUAUACUCCCUAAAAUCAUUAAGAACAUUGAAAGCAGAAGGCAGGUGAACCUCUGAGCACGAGGCCAGCCUACUCUACAAGGUGAGCUCCAUGUCAGCCAGGGCUACACAAAAUGACCCUGUCUUGAAAAAACAAAAAGAAAGAGAAAGAACAAGAACAAAAACAUGUAAAGCAAUAAUAAACCGCCUGCAAUAACUAAAAUUCACUUACACAAAACCAGGAGACAGAGGUGGGGGUGGAGGGAGAAGAUCACUGAAUUGCAGAGGCGGGAGUGGAGGGGAACAUCACUGAAUUGCAGAGGUGGGGGUGGAGCGAAAGAUAACUGAACUGCUCACCGUUCAGAACAGGAAACAAAGACAUACUAAUAACCACAGAGCUUUAAAAUAUAAACUAUCUUUGGAGAUCUCUAGAGAAGAUAGGAAUAUUCCCAACAUUCCAAACUCCUUAAAUGGUCAGAAAGAGUUAGUAUCUUGUAUCACUUUUGUGAUUUAAAAUUCUUAAGUUAGCAGUGCUAGCGAUGGCUCCACAGUUGAGAGCUGACUGUUUCUGCAGAGGAUCUGAAUUUGGUUCCCACAGAGCAGUUUCCAAGCUCCAGGGGCUCCUGUGCACAAAGGAUCCACAUCCAAGGACUCCCAGGUACACACACACACAUGAACCUAAUUCUUCUAAAGACAGGAAUAUGGAGGAGCUGGAAAAUGGGUUAAAACACUUGAUCUUCUUGCCAAACCUUGAGGUCGGUUCUGAGCUCCCUCGGGGCAGCUUACAACCAUUCUUUAACUAGCUUCUAGGUGAUCUGGGAGAUCCAGUGUCCCACAGCAGCACAGACACACAUACACACAUGCAGGGAAAAUACUCAUAUACAUAAAAUAAAAAUAAGGUAUUCUAAUCAAAUAAGGAGAUUACCUAAAAGAACCUUCUGAAAUACUAUUAAUGGCUUCAGAAGACAAUUUAUCUUCCAGGGUGUAAUUACACAGUCUGAUGUUAUAAAUUUAAGUUAAAUUUCCAUGAGUCGAUACAAAUAUAAAAGCACAAAGCAACCUAGAAUGAACCUUUGUCUCAGUGAAGCCAUGCACAGUAGAUGCGUAAUGUAAGAGACGUGCUCUCCAGGUCGCCAUGGUCUGUGUCCAUUAUCAAGUGAACUCUUGUCAUCUUCCAAUCCCUUGCUGCUCCCCCCAUAAACACAAAACAAAAACCCAUGUAAUAGCAAAAUACAAGGAUUUUGCUUUAACUCCAGAACAUGUAACUGAGGCAGGAGAUUCAUGAGUUCAAGGAACGUGGGGGUGGGGGGUGGGGGGUGGGGAGUGUGUAUGUGAGUGUUAUGGUAGCCACAUGCUACAAAAAGUUAAAAAGCAGUCAAGAGACCGAGAAGGAAGGAUAGAGAAAGAUGAGUGUGGGAUAGCCUACUACUAUACUUCCAGUUUAAAUUUUCAACAAAUCCUUACUACUUUUUAAAAAGUUGCAAUUUUUAGGAAAAACCACUUCUGCAUUAAUCCACCCAGUUCUUUCCCAGUGCCCCACCCUGUAUUUCUCAAAUACCAGUGGUGUUUGAAUGGACCUUACAUCUGUCCAAUUCUAACUUCCAUUGGAUGCACAAAACAGAGUCAGUUUGUUACUGUGCAUGACUGAAGGGGAAACACACCUUAUACUGCACUUAGUCUUCUGCUAGGCUGCUUAGGAACUAGAGCUACUCAUGAAAACCAAAUUACAAGUGAGAUUCCACACCGGUCAGGAAUGCCUGCCCUUACUGUCAUCCACUGUGAAUUUCCCAACCUUCCAGGAGAAGACUUGCCAACACCACAGUAGCUCCACUUCAGCAGGGAGAAUGAAAACUUUGUACAGCAUACACCAAGUGGGGUCCAUCAGUAUGACUGUUUCCUCAGGAAGGAACAUCUAUAUAACCAGAGAUUAUGCGUCUUUCAUGAGGUAAGCCCGUAGAAAUCCCAUGAUCAAUGUGCCCCAGUG
ensembl:lincRNA Gm26823 predicted gene, 26823